GGGGCGCUAAUGUCAAAAUGUGCUAUUUCCCCCCGGCUGCCGGGGGGCGCUAGUGACAAAACUGUCUAUUUCCCCCCGGCCAGUAGGGGCGUUGGUGUUUAAAUAGCUAUAGCACACCUGAAUUAGUGAACACAAUCAGGUGGAUACUACGGGAAAAUACAGUACAGUAGUUGUUACUUCAAGCAGAGUCAACACUGACCGCUGCUUCAAGUAAAAGAAAACGACCAGUAAAAAAUAAAAUUAUGUAACAAGUAGCUUGCUUGCUUGUUAUUUAAUUUUAUUUCACCUGAUAUUCUAAUUUCGAUAAAAAGCAGUACCCAGUACAUAAGAUAACAACUCACAGGCUUCGCAAAGGGCACAGCGCCCUUUUUUCUGCCGGGGCCCUUGGGCUUACAAGCACCAUCUAGCGGCCCAAGUCGAGAAAAAUCCAUCUAGUGGCAAAAAUCUCAGAAAACGUCAUCCAUCUAGUGGCAAAAAUCUCAGAAAAAUGUGUCCCUAUAGAACCUCACUUUUGAUAGAAUCCCUAUCGGGAAAUUCUAUUGAUUGAGCUAAAGUUCAUUGUCGGUAAGAACCCUGCGAUAACGACACAGUGAUUUUCACCUUAAACCUAUCAGUUUUCAUCUAAACAAUUUUAAUUGAAUUCAAGAUUUCGUUCAUUCCGUUACAAGCUAGCAAGUAUUCGUGAAGUUCUUCGUAUUCUACAGAUGUUUAUUACCGUUGCACUGCAGCCAAUCGUCGCUUCAAUAUCGUUUAUCGAUGAUUUACAUAGGAAAGCUACAUUGCCGAAUGCCCCUAGAUGGUAAAAUGAUCCUUCUUAUCCGAAAACGGAUAAAUAAUCAGGAGCAAUUUUUUUU